rnacentral:rRNA from 1 species
UGAACCGUGAGUCAUCAGAUUUUUGAACGCAACUGGCGCCGACUGGCUCUCCAGUCGGCAUGCUUGUUUCAGUGUCUCUUUCUCUCCUCACCCAAAUCCUUAUGCUACGGAUGCCCUUCUCUCGCUAAGCACGAACAGCACUCUGCGCUCUGCAGGCGGCUUCUUAGGCAUGUCGCACUCAAUGCAGCAGUCUCAUGGUAAAAUGUGAACUCAUUGAGACUUGAGGCAGCGCAGCCUAGCUGCCAGUGCUUAGUCACACAAACUUUACUUGCAUCUGAAAUCAAGCAGGAUCACCCGCUGAACUUAAGCAUAUCAAUAAGCGGAGGAA